rnacentral:rRNA from 1 species
AGCAGCCGCGGUAAUUCCAGCUCCAAUAGCGUAUAUUAAAGUUGUUGCAGUUAAAAAGCUCGUAGUUGAAUUUCAGGCCUGGCUGGACGGUCCGCCCUUCGGGUGAGUACUGUCUGUGGUCGGGUCCUACCUUCUGGCGAAGCGUCAUGGCCUUAACCGGCCGUGGCGGGGAACCAGGACUUUUACUGUGAAAAAAUUAGAGUGUUCAAAGCAGGCAAUCGCUUGGAUACAUUAGCAUGGAAUAAUGGAAUAGGACAAUGGUUCUAUUUGUUGGUCUCUAGGACCGUUGUAAUGAUUAAUAGGGAUAGUUGGGGGCAUUAGUAUUCAAUUGUCAGAGGUGAAAUUCUUGGAUUUAUUGAAGACUAACUACUGCGAAAGCAUUUGCCAAGGAUGUUUUCAUUAAUCAAGAACGAAAGUUAGGGGAUCGAAGACGAUCAGAUACCGUCGUAGUCUUAACCAUAAACUAUGCCGACUAGGAAUCGGGCGAUGUUGACAAAAUGACGC